CACCGCGGUUAUACGGGAGACCCAAAUUGAUAAACAACGGCGUAAAGAGUGGUUAGGAAUUAAAAUGAACUAAAGCCAUACACCCUCUUAGUUGUGAUACACUGAUGAACGGGGGAGGAUCUAACACGAAAGUAGCUUUAAAAUACUGAUCCACGAAAGCUGAGAAA
rnacentral:rRNA from 2 species